rnacentral:rRNA from 1 species
AGGACGAACGCUGGCGGCGUGCUUAACACAUGCAAGUCGAGCGGAAAGGCCCUUCGGGGUACUCGAGCGGCGAACGGGUGAGUAACACGUGAGUAAUCUGCCCCUAGCUCUGGGAUAGCUCCGGGAAACCGGGAUUAAUACCGGAUACGACCACCUUAGACAUCUUUUGUGGUGGAAAGAAUUUCGGCUAGGGAUGAGCUCGCGGCCUAUCAGCUUGUUGGUGGGGUAACGGCCUACCAAGGCGACGACGGGUAGCCGGCCUGAGAGGGCGACCGGCCACACUGGGACUGAGACACGGCCCAGACUCCUACGGGAGGCAGCAGUGGGGAAUCUUGCACAAUGGGCGAAAGCCUGAUGCAGCGACGCCGCGUGAGGGAAGAAGGCUUUCGGGUUGUAAACCUCUUUCAGGAGGGACGAAGCUACUCGGGUUAAUAGCCCAGAGGGUGACGGUACCUCCAGAAGAGCCCCGGCUAACUACGUGCCAGCAGCCGC